CCACAUUUCAGGGAUUCAGGAGCCACCUUGUUGACUGCCCUGAUAAAUAACAAGUUAAUUGUUGCGAAAUGUCUACUGGAUAGUGCUGGUCUACAUUCAUUGGGUGUUUGCUGGGUGCAGAGUACAAGGCCUAUUUAGGCCUAAGGAGCGUUGGUCUCAGUGGAUUAAAGCACAUCACAAUGAACUGGUGACGAGACAUUUGAACAAUCUUUCAAGGUAUGGUGAGACGUUUCCAGGCUGGGCCUUUCUCCUGAGCUCCAGCCUCGCACAACUAAUGGCCCAGCCAUCACCUCUUUUUGGGUAUCCCAAAGAUCUCCAACCCUGUAGGCCGCAAACCACUCUCAGUAUCUCUCCUCAAACAUCCCACAUCUUCUGUUGCAGAGUGGCACUCCCACCCAUCUAGUCUAAGAAAGGGAAAAAGGUCACACCCAAGUGAGUAUGAAGAGGGAGGGGAGGUAGACAUUCACAGCCGCCCAUCUGCUGCGAGGUUCUCCAGUCUCUCACAAAUGUUUGCAGUGUGAGCAAACAAGACGGAGGCAUGAAGGCCCAUUUGUAGUGGGAAAGUGGCCAGGCCACUGUGUGGGAAGGAGAAUGGGGCCGGGGAAUGGGCAUUCUAGGGAGCAGGGCAGGAGGCCUCUGGAGCUGGAAUCCCAUGUUAACGUUGCUGCCCAUGUUAAUAUAUAAGCCUACAUAGUCUUGUACUCUCACCCAGCAGACACGCAGUAAGUAUAGGCCUCCGCUGUGUGGAAUGUGGAAGUGGAUUGAAGGGAGGGUGGCCAGGACAGGGACGCUGCAGCAGCUCGGGGCAGAGCGGAGAGCCCCUGAACAGGCUGCAGUGGGAGCAUGGAAGGAGGCCGUGGGUAAUGGGGAUGGUCCGACGGAUGGAGACUGCACCCCUUGGUGGCUGACAUGGCAAUGGGUGGGAGGGCCAGGGAAGUGGCUACUGAGCCAGGGAAAGUCAAGAAAGUGUCAGCAGAGAGGUCUAGCUGCUUUCCCAUUCAUGUUCUUGUACUGUGUUUCUUACAUCUGCCUAGGGAACUGCCCUUUGAGAGUUUGUGGGGACCUUUCUCAGAAAAGUACACAUCUGGGUGAACGUUAACACACUGCAUGUAUUUUUAAGGCUUGAUCUCUGGACGAAGAUCUGCUGUUCUUGUUAGGCUGCAUUGAGAACUGUUUUCUAGAGUGACCGCUGGGUCAUCUGCAGAACCAAGAACCAGUGAUAGACAGGUGACUUUUGUGCACACACACAUAGGGGCCCCAAGUCAGUUUGCUCGAUUUUGGUUCAGAUGCAGCACACAUUUCAGGUACCAGAGGAGUCUGUGGUCAGAGACAAGGUAAAUUUUAUAAAGCAGCUAUGGGAAUAGCUUCUGAAAGGAUAUAGAAAACGUGCCUAAUAGGAAAAUUGUGCAUAGAAUGGAAAAUAUGUAAAACUGUAAUCUGGAUGAUUUUCAGCCUGGAAAACUAGUUUUGUGGUAUUUAAAAGCAUUUUAGACUUUUGAUUUCAUAUACGUUUCUAUUCCAUUAAUGAUGGAAUCUAUUCACCACUGGCCUCCUGUUUUCCCAUGACUCAACUGGAGAUGUUUAUUAAACAUCUGGAAUCUGGAAGUCCAUUGGGUUAAUGGAUACUAAAUAACAGUGAUUUUCAUACUUAAUUGCUUAUCAAAAUUAUUGUAGGAUAAAAAAAAAUUCCCGGUUCUUAUUAGAGUGAGGCCAGGGACCUUUUUUUUUUUAAGUACCCCCGCUCCGCCCCGCUUUUUUUUUUUUUUUUUUUUAAAGUUUUAAGGUAAUAGCAUUGCAAGGCAGUUUUGGGAUAGUGGCAUGAACAGAACAGAAAAGAAUAAAGGUGGGUUAUGAUGUAUUUGGAGUAGCAGUCCUGCCCCAUCAUUCAUCCUGAAAAAUCUACAUAGUAGGAGAAUUGGUGGUUGAAUUGCUUAAAAGCUUAUGAGGAAGACUGGCUGGAGACUCCCAUUC
rnacentral:lncRNA from 1 species